GGUGGGGGGUGACCCGCGUCAUUUUCGGACCGGUUUCUCUCCCGGCUCCGGCGGGCACGCCCUAGCUCCCGGCUCCCAGCCUUCUCGGCUCGCCCGCUCAGUUCCGAAGCUGCACUUGUCCACCCUCCCGGCCGGUGGCCCGAGAGUGGACGGUCCGGGCGGAGGCUGCAGCAGGUUCGGGCCAUUAUUUGGCUUCUCUCUGGGGGCCCCAAGCUUCCUCUUUCUCUGUCCCCCUCGUCGGGCUCGGGGAAAUUGGCUGCGAGGGAAAUCUCAGGGCUUCUUUCUUUUCUCUAGCGAAAAAGCUAGCUGCUGCUGCGCCCGGAGCUCGGGGACCUUCGGAGCCCCUCGGGAGCAGCCCGGGGGACUCCGGAGCUGGUCCUCGGAAUCGCCGGAGGCCGCGGAAGAAGGGGAGCGGUGUCCCGCGUCCUCUUCCCCGCCGUGAGUCCAGUCACGCGGCCGACUCGGGUCUGCGCUCUUUGCGCGCUGCCCGACUCUCCGACUUCGCGCCCCCGGCCCUCGCCGCCAUAUACAGACAGGCACACGCCCCGCUUUGCCAGCUUAGGGUGCCGAGCCACAGCUACGCGGGCAGAGCGGGGAGACGGGAGGCUCGGCUGGGAGGUUAGAGAGCGGCUGGGACUCUACCUAGAACGCGCACGUUCACAAACAGGCAACCAGAGAAGGUAAAGCCAGAGGGCUGUGCUAGCUCCGGCGCGGCCACAGGUUCUAACGCGCGCGCUAAUCCUCCGGCACCUCGAGAAGAUUCAGGGCUGGCUGCCCUAGGGAGGACCAGAGAGGCACGCGGCUGGAGCUCCUGGGCGCUCAACCCGCCCGGGCUCCGGAGGCGCAAGAAUCUCGCGCUUUGGGGAACCUUUGCUCAGCUUUAGCCCCCACCCGAUCAUUCGGGCGGAAGGGGUGCGGCGGCGGGAGCACCGGGAAGGACAGGUGGCGUCUGGAGGGGACGGGGCGCUCGGUGCUGGCUACGCUAGCCCCUGUCGGGUUGCGCCGGCCGCCCCUUCCGAGACGAAAAAUAGAUUCGGGGCUAGAGUGGGGCUACUCCGCCGCCGAUCCAGGUCGCGGGGUCGGGAGGCAAAUUCGGGGCUGCAACUUAAAGUGCAAGUGCUUCCUUAUGGGGAGAAGGCACAUCCUUUCCCCGAACGCUGAGCUUGGGGAGGCUCCCGAGUUUGGGCACCCAGGGACUGACCGAACUAUUCUAAGUUUGUUAGCCCCCUCCUUCUCACCCGAUAACCUACAGCCUCAUAGCUGAGCCGACGCUGCCAGCCCGCCAGCCAGCGCCGCUACCUGAGAAGACCCGCGACCUUUCUCGCCAGCUAUCUCUGCUCCACCUUUCUCCAGAGAAGAGAAAAAGGAAAGAGGGGGAAAGGAAGGAAGGCAGAAAGGAAGGAACGUAGGGAGAAAGAAAGGAAGGAAGAAAAGAAGGUAGGAAGAAAGGAAGGAAGGAAAGAAGGAAGGUAGGAAGAAAAAAAGAAGGAAAGAAGGAAGGAAGGAAGGAAGGAACGUAGGGAGAAAGAAAGGAAGGAAGAAAAGAAGGUAGGAAGAAAGGAAGGAAGGAAAGAAGGAAGGUAGGAAGAAAAAAAGAAGGAAAGAAGGAAGGAAGAAAGGAAGGAAGGAACGUAGGGAGAAAAAAGGAAGG